AGCUAACCUGGGGUACACAGAGGUAAUCGAGUGACCCUGCCUCAAGCAAGGCAGAAGGUGAGGUCUGAUCCUCACGGUUGUCCUUCGUCCUCCACACAUGCUCUCAGUGCAUGUGUGGCAUGUGUUAGCACUCUCACCCACAAACACAUGUUCUAUAUACAGUAUACAUGGACAUACAGAGGGGAAAAAACCAACCACCAUUAGACCACCUAUUCAUGACCAAGAACCUGCUGUUGUUGCUGUUAUACAGAACGGCUCAGGCCUAUGGGCCAUGCAGCCUGCUCUCCACACCUCCCUCCUCUACCCCUCUC
rnacentral:lncRNA from 1 species